ACGGCUCAUUAUAUCAGUUAUAAUCUUCUUGAUCGUAUCCUCUUACUUGGAUAACCGUAGUAAUUCUAGAGCUAAUACAUGCCAAAGUUCCCGACUGGUGACGGAAGGGAAGUAUUUAUUAGGUCCAAAAACAAUGCUGGCCCUUUCAAACUGGGGCCACCUGGGGUCCGGAAAAGUUGAUGAUUCAUAAUAACUAAACGAAGCGCAGGCCUCGUGUCGGCGCUGAUACAAACGAGUUUUUGCCCUAUCAACUUUUGAUGGUAGUAUAGGGGGCUUCCAUGGUUGUAACGGGUAACGGGGAAUUAGGGUUUUAUUCCGGAGAGGGAGCCUGAGAAAUGGCUACCCCUUCCAAGGAAGGCAGCCGGCGCGGAAAUUACCCCAUCCUGAUUCGGGGAGGUAGUGACCAGAAAUACCCUUGUUGGGCCCUUUGUGUUCGAUAUUU
rnacentral:rRNA from 1 species